AAUCUUCAUUAUUACAUUUUACGUAGGACAUGAAUACAUCCAUAUUUAUUAGCUUAGUAACAAAGAAAUAAAUCAUAUCAAAUCAGAUCAAUUCACAUAUAAACCUCCCUAAUCCAAAAAAUCCGAUUUAAUUCUCGAUCUAAUGUUUACUCUAUAAAUAGGAUCUAAAAUUACAAUGAAAAUCAUCCAUAAUUUACAAAUUUACUAUCCUAAAGUUGUUGCUCUUCACAUCGAAGAACAACAACAACUAAACCCUAAUCUAAGCUUCAACCAUCUCUGCAACGAAAAAAAGAAAAGAAGGGGAGUUAGAAGGAAUUCGAGGUAGAAAGAGGAAAGAAAGAGAAAAGAGUUAAAAGAAGAGAAACUAUACCUUUGCUCAAACCAGGAAAAUCCUCAUCCCUAUAGGUUGGUCCUCUAUUCAUGUCUUGAUCUAUUGCAUGAUGCUUGGGUUUAAUUGUGUGUUUGAUGUGUGUUAGUCCCUGAACUAAGUAAUAACCUGUUUCAAAUGAAAAAAAACAUAACCAAAAUAAGUUUUUAAAUCAAUCCGUGUCCUGUUUCAACAUCAAGAAAAAUACCCCAUCCAUAACUAAAAUCUGUUUCAAAUUAAUCAAUAACUAAAAUCUGUUUCGAAUCAUAAACAUACUCUUCUUCAACUCAAAACCAUACCUUGUUUAAAAUUCAAACCACACCCAGUUUCAAUUUAAAUUAACACCCCUGUAAAAAAAAAUCUUUUUCAAAACACAAAUCAAGUUUAACACUAAUUUUUGUAGAACCAAUACACAAUUUCACAUCCAAAUAUUACCCCGGUAGAAAAAAUUUCAAAACCGAAUUGAAACUAAUAGUAUCCUUUCAACUAAAAAGAACUAUACUCUAUUUCAAUCAAAAACCAAUUUAGAGUCAAAAUAAUCCCCCCCCCCCCNCCCCCCCCCCGAGCCAAAUCAAAAAACGAAACAGAACUGAAUAAAAAAAACAAAAUCAAAACUGACACGAGCUUCACAAUUGCAUCGUCGGCUUCCGUAGAUACCUCAUCCACAUCUGCACACCCCUAUCCCUCAUGAGUCUGCCGACCCUCCAUCAUGCUACCAUGAUUGCGCCGCUUCGUCACGAUUACGCCGACCAUCGCUCUGCCGUGAACACCACCCUUUCUAGCCUCUUUCAAUUUUGUGAGUGCUCGCCUUGUGGAUUUGAGCUCAUUGUUGUUUGGAUUUGUGUUGUUGAGAUUGAUCCAAGUGAAGUGUUAUAUUCAUUUUUGUAAGUGCAACUUUCCGAUAGAUGUAUUUUGUAUGAUGUCAAAACUAGGAUACUUUAGCAUUUAUGUAUAUUGGAUGUAUCCUCUAAGUCUAAAUGUGCAUCUUAGUAUCAGGAAACAUAACAACAUGUUAGAAAAGGUUUAAGAAAGGUUUCGUGCAUCAAAAACUGGUUUUUAUGUGAAAAACAGUCUAUGUGUCGACACAUCGUGCUAUAGGUCGACAAAUAGAAGAUUUUUUUUCUACAGGUCGACAUAUACGAGCUUCAGGUCGACACAUGUAACUCAUAUUUAAAGCCUACAACUUCUUUUUUGUGUGCCGCCUCUACAUGUCGACAUAUGCAUCGUAUGUGCCGACACAUGACUUACAUGGUGUCUUAUAACAAAAAUAAAAAUCCUUUUGACAAUCACCUUAAUAAAAAUAACAUAAAUAAAAAUAUCAUUUAAUGAAUAAUUUACAUUUUCUUCAGAUGCAAAUGUAACUUUAUAUUCAUCCAUGGUGUCUUUUAUAUUAAAAAAGUAUAAAAAACACUUGAGAAAAAUAGAGAUAUUAGAAGGAAAAAAAAUCACAAAAUAGUAAAAAUUUAGCAAGAUCAAUAACACACAAAUUCUGUCAUCAUCCUUUUGGUUACUUCUAUGACCAAUAAACUUAAAAAACUUUAGAGAGGUUCAAGAAAAAUAAUAUAAGAAUUAGAGUAAAUAUUUUAAUGUCAUAAAAUUCUCAGUAUAAAAAAUAUCAGUAACAUUAAAACCAAAACUUAAAUUCAAAACCCUAUUCAAGUCAAAUAAUAACACACAACUCAUUAUAAACUUCAUUCUCUUCCUAAAUACAUAUAGAAUUUCAUUAUAUAACAAAAAGAAAAACAUAAGAAGAAAAUGUUAC
rnacentral:lncRNA from 1 species